UACAGAGGGUGCAAGCGUUGUCCGGAAUCACUGGGCGUAAAGCGUUUGUAGGCGGCUCUGUAAGUCGGGUGUGAAAUCCCACGGCUCAACCGUGGAAGUGCAUUCGAAACUGCAGGGCUUGAAUAUGGAAGAGGAGAGUAGAAUUCCAGGUGUAGUGGUGAAAUACGUAGAUAUCUGGAGGAAUACCGGUGGCGAAGGCGGCUCUCUGGUCCAAUAUUGACGCUGAGAAACGAGAGUGCGGGGAUCAAACAGG
rnacentral:rRNA from 1 species